rnacentral:lncRNA from 1 species
CUGGUAGUCAAUUCUCGUUUGGCACAUCUCUUUCAAAAUCCAGUUCUCGUAUUGUAAUCCAGUUCUCGUAUGUCGUAUCUUUCAAAAUUUGGUUCUCGUCUGGUGGUCAAUUCUCGUUUGACUUAUCCUUCCAAACCUGGUUCUUGUCUAGUAGUCAAUUAUCGUUUGGAUCAUCUAUCAAAACCAAGUUCCCGUCUGGUAGUCAAUUCCCAUUUGAAUUAUCCCUUCCGAAUCUAGUUCUUAUCUGGUAGUCAAU